rnacentral:rRNA from 1 species
CCUACGGGUGGCAGCAGUGAGGAAUAUUGGUCAAUGGACGAGAGUCUGAACCAGCCAAGUAGCGUGCAGGAUGACUGCCCUAUGGGUUGUACACUUCUUUUAUACAGGAAUAACCCGCGGCACGUGUGCCUUUUUGCAUGUACUUUAUGAAUAAGGAUCGGCUAACUCCGUGCCAGCAGCCGCGGUAAUACGGAGGAUCCGAGCGUUAUCCGGAUUUAUUGGGUUUAAAGGGAGCGUAGAUGGGUUGUUAAGUCAGUUGUGAAAUUUUGCGGCUCAACCGUAAAAUUGCAAUUGAUACUGGCAGUCUUGAGUACAGUUGAGGUAAGCGGAAUUCGUGGUGUAGCGGUGAAAUGCUUAGAGAUCACGAAGAACCCCGAUUGCGAAGGCAGCUUACUAAACUGUGACUGACAUUGAUGCUCGAAAGUGUGGGUAUCAAACAGGAUUAGAUACCCCUGUAGUC